CGUUGCGGACUUGCUCCCCGCAACGGGUGAGCCCGGCAUAGCAUAAACCGGGAGGGCGGGAACG
rnacentral:sRNA from 1 species